rnacentral:rRNA from 1 species
AGCUCCAAUAGCGUAUAUUAAAGUUGUUGCAGUUAAAAAGCUCGUAGUUGGAUCUCGGGAGCAGGCUGGCGGUCCGCCUCGCGGCGGCUACUGCCCGUCCUGCCCUACCUGCCGUUUUUCCCGUGGUACUCUUCGUUGAGCGCCUCGGGUGGACGGAACGUUUACUUUGAAAAAAUUAGAGUGUUCAAAGCAGGCGGUUCGCCUGAAUAAUGGUGCAUGGAAUAAUAGAAAAGGACUUCGGUUCUAUUUUGUUGGUUUUCGGAACUCGAGGUAAUGAUUAAAAGGGACAGACGGGGGCAUUAGUACUGCGGUGUUAGAGGUGAAAUUCUUGGAUCGCCGCAAGACUGACUACUGCGAAAGCAUUUGCCAAGCAUGUUUUCA